GGGGAAUAUUGGACAAUGGGCGAAAGCCUGAUCCAGCCAUGCCGCGUGAGUGAUGAAGGCCCUAGGGUUGUAAAGCUCUUUCAGCGGGGAAGAUAAUGACGGUACCCGCAGAAGAAGCCCCGGCUAACUUCGUGCCAGCAGCCGCGGUAAUACGAAGGGGGCUAGCGUUGUUCGGAAUUACUGGGCGUAAAGGGCGCGUAGGCGGAUUUGCAAGUUAGGGGUGAAAUCCCGGGGCUCAACCCCGGAACUGCCUUUAAAACUGCUAAUCUAGAGUUCGGGAGAGGUGAGUGUAAUUCCGAGUGUAGAGGUGAAAUUCGUAGAUAUUCGGAGGAACACCAGUGGCGAAGGCGGCUCACUGGCCCGAAACUGACGCUGAGGCGCGAAAGCGUGGGGAGCAAAC
rnacentral:rRNA from 1 species